UGAGUCGGCUGGACGGCCGCGUCGGGCAUCGCGCCUCUUCUUAGGGGGACGCCGGUCCCGCCGAGGAAAGUCCGGGCUCCGCAGAGCAGGGCGGUGGGCAACACCCACCCGGGGCGACCCGCGGGAAAGUGCCACAGAAAUCAGACCGCCGGGGCGCCGCAUGGCGCCGCGGUAAGGGUGAAACGGUGGUGUAAGAGACCACCAGCGCCCAGGGUGACCUGGGCGGCUCGGUAAACCCCGCCCGGAGCAAGGCCAGACAGGUGGCGUUCGAGGGCUGCUCGCCCGAGCCACCGGGUAGGCCGCUGGAGGCCCGCGGCAACGCAGGUCCUAGAUGGAUGGCCGUCUUCAAUGACAGAACCCGGCUUACAGGCCGGCUCAUCCG
rnacentral:RNase_P_RNA from 1 species